CUCCAUCAUGGUUUCGCUCCUUAGCCACCCUUCGCCUGAUGCCAAGAAGGGAAAUAACACCUCCUAAGUGUUGGAUAACUGCUCAGGCUGAGAGCUACUCCUAAACUGGAGGCCUGAGAGUGCAGUGAGCAUUCUGCUGCCACACUGCAGUCAGGGGCCAGGCCAAGGCUGGCUCAGGUCCAAGAAGGGUGCCACCCAGCCCAGCAAGUACCUGAAUGGGGGAAUGAGGAUGAAGAAAAAUAAAGACAAAGAGAUAAAGUCGGGAGGGCUCCCAGAGACCGAGCAC
rnacentral:lncRNA from 1 species